rnacentral:rRNA from 1 species
GGGUCAGUAGGUUGGUCGUGCCACCGGUACGUACUGGUCUCACUGAUUCCUCCUUCCUGAAGAACCGUAAUGCCAUUAAUUUGGUGUUGCGGGGAAACAGGACUGUUACUUUGAAAAAAUUAGAGUGUUUAAAGCAAGCUAACGCUUGAAUACAUUAUCAUGGAAUAAUGAAAUAGGACGAUCGAUCCUAUUUUGUUUGUUUCUAGGAUUGACAUA